CCUACGGGAGGCAGCAGUGGGGGAUAUUGCACAAUGGGGGGAACCCUGAUGCAGCGACGCCGCGUGGGUUAAGAAGCGCCUCGGCGCGUAAAGCCCUGUCAGCAGGGAAGAAAAUGACGGUACCUGAAGAAGAAGCCCCGGCUAACUACGUGCCAGCAGCCGCGGUAAUACGUAGGGGGCAAGCGGUAUCCGGAUUUACUGGGUGGAAAGGGGGCGCAGACGGCGAUGCAAGCCAGAAGUGAAAGCCCGGGGCCCAACCCCGGGACUGCUCUUGGAGCGGCGUGGAUGGAGUGCAGGAGGGGCAGGCGGAAUUCCUGGGGUAGCGGUGAAAUGCGUAGAUAUCAGGAGGAACACCGGUGGCGAAGGCGGCCUGCUGGACUGCAACUGACGUUGAGGCCCGAAAGCGUGGGGAGCAAACAGGAUUAGAUACCCGAGUAGUC
rnacentral:rRNA from 1 species